rnacentral:rRNA from 2 species
GCCCCGGUAAACGGCGGCCGUAACUAUAACGGUCCUAAGGUAGCGAAAUUCCUUGUCGGGUAAGUUCCGACCUGCACGAAUGGCGUAAUGAUGGCCAGGCUGUCUCCACCCGAGACUCAGUGAAAUUGAACUCGCUGUGAAGAUGCAGUGUACCCGCGGCAAGACGGAAAGACCCCGUGAACCUUUACUAUAGCUUGACACUGAACACUGGUCCUUGAUGUGUAGGAUAGGUGGGAGGCUUUGAAGUGUGGACGCCAGUCUGCAUGGAGCCGUCCUUGAAAUACCACCCUUUAAUGGCU